UUACGGCCAUAUCACGUUGAGACAUCGGUUCUCGUACGAUCACUGAAGUUAAGCAACGUCGAACCUGGUCAGUACCUAGAUGGGUGACCAUUUGGGAAUAUCAGGUGCUGUAAG
rnacentral:rRNA from 1 species